UCAUAAAUACCUGUUUUUGACGAUCCAGUAGUCAUGUCCUUCCUCAGAGCCGUAGCCGACCAGCAGAACUGCGUGGCUCAGGUGGUUGGGGUUACAGCUGGGCUCGUUGUAAAUUCCUGUAGAGAAAUUCAAAGAUCUCCCACUCGGUCAGGACCACCUCGUCCGAUUCCGACAGCACCGUCUGCGGGCUGCACAGCAGGACGGAGAGCAGGGCCGCCCUCAGCAGAAGGCUCACCAGCCCAGCUGGAAGGAAAGACAACAACGAGUCACAACCUCUCGUUGAAUUGGGACUUUACGCAUCGUAUUGUAAAGAAGGUGGCAGGAGUUCACCGACCCAAACACCAGGAUCAAAACACUAUGAACUAUUCUGUCUCUUCUGCUGAGCCCUCAUUUUCAGAAUCACAUUAUUCUCCCUCUUCAGUUUUAAAAGCACACAGCAUGGGUGGGGGACAUGGACUUAAAAUUUAAUCACGAUAUUUUGUGGUAAUAUGAUAAAAAUAAAGGUGCCUAUAACUA